UACGUAGGGGGCAAGCGUUGUCCGGAAUCAUUGGGCGUAAAGAGCGUGUAGGCGGCCCGGUAAGUCCGCUGUGAAAGUCCAGGGCUCAACCCUGGGAUGCCGGUGGAUACUGUCGGGCUCGAGUUCGGAAGAGGCGAGUGGAAUUCCCGGUGUAGCGGUGAAAUGCGCAGAUAUCGGGAGGAACACCAAUGGCGAAGGCAGCUCGCUGGGACGUUACUGACGCUGAGACGCGAAAGCGUGGGGAGCAAACAGG
rnacentral:rRNA from 1 species